rnacentral:rRNA from 1 species
AACGACGCUGGCGGCGCGUUUUAAGCAUGCAAGUCGAGCGGCAAGGGUAGCAAGUACCCCUAGAGCGGCGGACGGGUGAGUAACACGUGGACAACCUGCCCUUAGGUGAGGGAUAGCCCAGGGAAACCUGGAUUAAUACCUUAUAAGACCACUGAUAGGAGUAUGAGUGGGGAAAGGUGCUACGGCGCCGCCUGAGGAUGGAUCUGCGUCCCAUUAGCUAGAUGGCAGGGUAAGGGCCUACCAUGGCGACGAUGGGUAGCCGGCCUGAGAGGGUGAACGGCCACACUGGAACUGAGAGACGGUCCAGACUCCUACGGGAGGCAGCAGCUAAGAAUCUUCCGCAAUGGGCGCAAGCCUGACGGAGCGACGCCGCGUGAACGAUGAAGGCCGCAAGGUUGUAAAGUUCUUUUCGGGAAGGAGAAUAAGGGGAGCAGGCAAUGGCUUUCCGAUGCCGUGAAUCCCGGAAUAAGCCCCGGCUAACUACGUG